CCACGCCGUAAACGAUGAGCACUAGAUGUCGGGUUCGCAAGAAUUCGGUGUCGCAGUUAACGCAUUAAGUGCUCCGCCUGGGGAGUACGCACGCAAGUGUGAAACUCAAAGGAAUUGACGGGGACCCGCACAAGCAGCGGAGCAUGUGGUUUAAUUCGAAGCAACGCGAAGAACCUUACCAGGACUUGACAUCCCUCUGACAGCUCUUUAACAGGAGCCUUCUUCGGACAGAGGAGACAGGUGGUGCAUGGUUGU
rnacentral:rRNA from 1 species